UUAGCAUGAAGUGAAGCACAUACACCUGCUGAAUUUAAGCAUAUAAGUAAGUGGUGGAAAUUAAACCAAAUGGGAUAUCUUUAGUAAUUGCGAAUGAACAAGGAUAUGCUUAGCUUGACAAAUGGAGCUAUUGGCUUUGAAUUGUAUUUGUGGAAUGUAUUACCAACAGAGGUGCAGGUGCCAGCCUAUUAAAUAAAGCGUCAAUGAGGGUGAGAAUCCUGUUUGUCAUGUGCAGCCCUUUGUGCACGGUGUAUAUUUGCUGAGUCACACUCCUUGGCAUUGGAAUGCAAAGUGGGUGGUAAGUUUCAUGUACAGGUAAACAUGCAAUUGAGACUGAUAGCACACAAGUACCAUGAGGGAAAUAUGAAAAGGACUUUGAAAAGAGAAUUAAAUGAGUUUGUAUUUGCUGAACACAAAGUAAACAGACUUGAUUUGCUUGGUGGGAGUGUUGCACUUGCUUGACAAGAGCUUUGGGCUGUGGGUGUAAUGAUUCUUUCUUUGCAUGCCAGUUUCUAUGUGUACAUCUGAUUACCUUUGCACAUGAAUGAUAAGUCUCCUGUGGGGGGUGGAUUGCAUGUGCAUGUAAUGAUUUGUGUUUUGAUAAAUGUGUCUGGUGUAUGUGUGUGUGUUCCUGUGCUUGGGGAUGCUUCCUUCCUUGGACUUACAAGCCCUGACACACACAUGCUGGCAAAAUGCUUCUGCUUGACCCGUCUUGAAACACGGACCAAGGAGUCUAA
rnacentral:rRNA from 1 species